UUCAGACCACAAGAACUUCAGAAAGGUGUGAGUGGUCUGACUGCACAGGCAUCUCCCUGCUCUACCCAUCAUAGCUCAGCAUGGCACAGCAGGACCUAGCAACACUGCAGGGCCUUAAAGAUGGUUCAAAACCCAGAAGCAAGACGUCUAACAAAGAAGAAAAAGCAACACAUCACUCCUGUUUUAGAUCAAGCGCACAGUCCACCUGUGCAAUACACAACUGAGUUAAAAAAUGUAUUAUUUGUUUUCAAAGCCCUCUGUGAAUAAACUCCAACAUGUAACUCAAUUUUUUGC